ensembl:piRNA 21ur-9187 ncRNA
UACUCCACAAAUUUCUGUUUU